rfam:Kluyvera intermedia strain CAV1151, complete genome.
ACUUUUCUGGUUGAAGCCUGAGAAAUCAGGCCGAUGGCUGGUGACUUUUUAGUCACCAGCCA